GAUGAACUGAGGGUAGCGGAGAAAUUCCAAUCGAACCUGGAGAUAGCUGGUUCUCUCCGAAAUAGCUUUAGGGCUAGCCUCAAGUGAUGAUUAUUGGAGGUAGAGCACUGUUUGGACGAGGGGCCCCUCUCGGGUUACCGAAUUCAGACAAACUCCGAAUGCCAAUUAAUUUAACUUGGGAGUCAGAACAUGGGUGAUAAGGUCCGUGUUCGAAAGGGAAACAGCCCAGACCACCAGCUAAGGUCCCAAAAUAUAUGUUAAGUGGAAAAGGAUGUGGCGUUGCCCAGACAACUAGGAUGUUGGCUUAGAAGCAGCCAUCAUUUAAAGAGUGCGUAAUAGCUCACUAGUCGAGUGACACUGCGCCGAAAAUGUACCGGGGCUAAACAUAUUACCGAAGCUGUGGAUUGUCCUUUGGACAAUGGUAGGAGAGCGUUCUAAGG
rnacentral:rRNA from 1 species